rnacentral:misc_RNA from 1 species
GCAGGAUCAUAAAUAAAAAAGAUGGGAUUAUUAUAAUGAAAGUGUAUGCUGACAUUAUAAUAAUCUUGUCUAUGUUCUAAAUACAAAAUACCUUCACGAGGUUUAGAAUGGGUGAUAUAAGGAAGUUAUAUUAGCUAAAUUUGUGUAUGUGGUAAAUGGGUUGAUUGUAAAGGCGUGUGUAGUUAGGUGUAGAGAAUAAUAUUUAAGUAUGUUUAUGGUAGAAAGAUUUUUAUUUUUUUAGCUGUUUAUAUCAAGGAUUUCGCACUUGUAACAACACACUUAUUUUAUCCA